rnacentral:lncRNA from 12 species
CAGGGAUGUAAGGUUAAGGAAGAACAGAGGAUGGGGAGAUAAGUCAGGAUGAUCAGAUAUAGUCCAGAACCCAGAGAAAUUAAUUAUAGUGGAUUGUCAUGAUAAAGACCAUGAAGAGUACGGAGCUUAAUAGAAAAAAAAAAUGAGAAUGAAAUAGCAGAAGCCUGGAAGAAGCCAAAAAGGACGGAUAGGAAGAAAGAAAGUAUCUGCAAAGGCAGCUCCAACCACAGAAUGUCAGUCUGGCCUUGAUGACAUCAUGUCCUGAUGUACAAUCUUGACCAAAGUCAGAACUAUACCUAUCUAGCCUCAUAAUGAAGAACGUUCAAGGCCAUCUCUUCUGACACCUUGGGAAUCUGAACUCACACAGAUGGUGCUAUUGUUUUC